CAAGUCCUGAUGUUUGCGGCCCCCUGCAGUUAACGGCUGAUCACAACCUAGAUACCUAACAUCACCUGGCUACCCCGUCUCUAUAGGAGAAAAAGCUCAGAUGCAAAUGGGACAUCAAAGCAAAUGAGGGAGAGAGGGUUCGAGUUGUCUUUCUUGAUUACAACAUUAUAAAUCUGUCCAACUGUAAAGAUGAUUAUGUGAAGAUCUUUGACGGAAUCGACCCAUUCAGCUCACAACUGGAAGUACUUUGCAAGUUCACUCAGCAUAGUCUCACAAUAACUAGUACAGGGAGAUAUAUGAGGAUUGAGUUAAAAAACAAACCUCUUUGUAUCAGGCAGAGGGUUCGAGUUAACGUACACCAGUGGUGAUUUUGAAGUCCAACGACACCUUGAUGUAACUAGCGAACAUUUAAUCCAAUUAUUUUCUCCUGGAUACCCAGGUAAUUUUGAAGGUAAAUACCAUCUUACCUGGAGGAUAGAAGCUGGUUCAGUGGGAAAAAUCCUUCAAAUGAUUGUUAAAGAAUCACAUCUUCCGUACAACCAUAAAUGUGGCACAGAUUAUUUGGAAGCACAUGAUGGCUAUGACUCGUCAAGCAUAUCUUUGGCAAAGUGGUGCGGAGACGAGAGGCCAUCUAAAGACAGCUCAGGAUCGCACAUAUUCCUUGUAUCCCAUGCUAGUAGUGUUGAGACCCGUGGAGUUUUUAUGAUCAACUUUUUUGUGGUGCUAAAACCACACCAGGAGUCUGGAGACAGCGUGAAAACAACCACCAUACUUUUGUUAUGCAUUGCAGUUGUCCUAGUUCUGGUAAUGCUCUUCAGUGUUUACAAAAUUCGCCAGAGACGACGCCAUCGGUCAUCACACACUGAUCAUGCUUUCGUGGCCACCACGAUGUCUUCAAACCCAGCACUUCAGGCACCACACCAAGCAGCGGCUAUGCCAGCUGGGGGCGAAACAGAAUUACCUCCCUACACCUCAGCUGCUCAAAGCCAGCCUCCCCCGUCAUACGAAAGUCUGGAGUUUGGACCCAACAAUGUAAACGUAGCAGCGAAGAUGUUAUUCUGUCUGAUAGACGUAUGGGGAUUAAUACAUGGAACUGUACAGUUGAAUGCCUUCAAUACGACAAGACAGGAUGUGUUAUAGGAGAAUUAAUAUCAACACUGUUUUCUAAAGCAAUCCACUGUAUAUAGACGUGAAGGUGAUAGCAUACUUGGAGGAUACUAAUAAACGGUCGUUUGAAAGAGAGAGAGAGAGGAGAUGCGUGUGCGUGUGCAUGUAACUUGAGCUUAUCACAGAGUUUGAAUAAUGAAAUACUGUACAAAAGAUCAAAAUGAGAUUUACAUACAAUACCACUGCAUUGAAACUGAUUAUUUUAUAUGUAUUCAGUAAGUAAAUGAUGAUCUUAUUAGUACUCUUAACUUAUAUUUGUUGUUAAAAAGAUUCAGUAUUUGAUAAGAAUGAUCGUGUAUGUUACCUCAAUGUAAAAUGUCUUGCAAUGUAAACUACCAACAUUUA
rnacentral:misc_RNA from 1 species